UACGAAGGGGGCUAGCGUUGUUCGGAUUUACUGGGCGUAAAGGGCGCGUAGGCGGCGUGGUAAGUCACUUGUGAAAUCUCUGAGCUUAACUCAGAACGGCCAAGUGAUACUGCUGUGCUAGAGUGCAGAAGGGGCAAUCGGAAUUCUUGGUGUAGCGGUGAAAUGCGUAGAUAUCAAGAGGAACACCUGAGGUGAAGACGGGUUGCUGGGCUGACACUGACGCUGAGGCGCGAAAGCCAGGGGGGCAAACGGG
rnacentral:rRNA from 1 species